UUUAAAUGGACCCUGGUGGGGGUCUGUUAAGGCAUCUGGACAAGGAGAGGAGGGCAGGGCUAAGAGGAGCAACUGAUGGAAUUAAGGAUUAGGAACGCAGAGCUGUGCUCAGAUCAGGAGUCGACUGCGACAGCAAUGUUUACCCGACUUAACGAUCUGCCGUAACCUUUCUGAUGAUACGAUUAAUCACGCAGAUAAUAUUCCCCAGAAAACAGCCCUCCAUCAUUGUUUGGUUGCUGAGCAAUUCGGCAAAGUGAUUAUGCAGACAACUCAAUUAAUGAGGGAUUCUGAGGUGCUUGUGCGGCCCUCCACUGUAAUGCUGUUCCUUCAGCGAGCUUCGUUUCACCUGAAAUGCUGGCUCUAGCCCCCCAGCGUGGUCCCUGAUUUCCGAUACUCAUUAGGCUCCCCUCAUAAGCAUUGACCCUUAAGUGAGUUAAUUGCGAUUUGUGGAAGUGCCUGAUUUGGUGUAAGAUUCUUGUGUUUACCAGGCCGUCAGGCACAGGGGAGCAAAGUUGGGGUGCUUCCAGUCUGGCUAUCAGGCAUAUCCGCCAUUUUCCCAGUGGGCGAAAGCUUUUAUUGUCGCCCCCCACCUUUAGCAAAAUGUACUGUGGGGGACCCCUAAAUCCAGCCCUUCUUCCAGUUAUAAACUGAAUCACACCCCCACGAGGCCUGUUCUUUUAGCAUCUCCGGGCCGUGUGUUUUGAGCUCUUGAGAUCUGAUGUAGUUAUUUUUUUUUUUUUCGUUAGGCAGGAUGGAUCACAGUCAGGCUGACACCUCCCCCAACAAGCCUUCCUCCCCAGCGGAUCUGAGCACCUCCUUACGAUCAAAAGGAUGGAGCUGGUUCAUCGUUGCAUCCCGUUAUCACUGUCAUUAUGUAACUUAACUGGUGCAUUCAGAGAGACCAUCAGUUCCUAUAGCUGCAGGGUUCGAGAUGGAUUGUUCAGGUCAAGAAAGCAAAAAUGCAGACCAAGCAGUUGGCUGAAAUAAAACAUUGGUCUGGAUUUACACUUUCUGAACCUUAACUUUCCACUUCUUCCUAAAUAGGUUAGCAAACUAUCAUCUUGAUGCAUCACUCUACAUUUUCUGUGUUAAUAAGCAUGUUUCACACCAGGCAGUAUUUCACCUCCGCAUGCAUUAACUGUUACAUAGCACCUGUUCGCUUUUCUAUAGAGAAACCGCUUUCGUGGAAAAGGUUUGUUGAAAUGCGAUUCAAAAUCACGUUCUGACCUCACGCCUCAAGGGUUGUGGGUUCGACUACUGCCCAGCACCCUAAUUGCAUGAUUGCAGGAGUGAUUCUGGGUUCCUCUGCCUCUAAAGGUGCCUGCUUCAGGUGGAUCGGUGUCUCUUCGUAGCCCUCUGAUGGACCUUUACUGACAGGACUCGGCUUCGGGGCACAUUGAGAUCCUGUACUGGGGCCCCCACCUUGUAGACUGUGUACAGACAGGCGAACCAAGGAUUGAAAGGUCUUCGCAGGGAUUACCCAUAAUCACCCGGGGCUGAGGGAGAAGCCGGCUCUUUGGGGGCAUCGAAACGCUCGCCCUCUAACACGAUCUUCAGACUCCCGAAAUUCAUCUACAUGUCAAGAUGCUCCAAAAAGAAUUAUGAUAACGGAAACUUCACACGAUUCAGAAGCAGACGAGCUGCUUCCACAGAAGCUGGUGACGUCAGGCAGGGGCACAGGAAUUGGGGGGUGAAGAGGACAUGGGGAUCAGUACAAUAAGCCCCCCCUCCUCCCCACACUGUUAGUGACUGGCACUAGCAGCAGCUACAGACUGUCUCCAGGUUACAAAAAAGGUCCAUCAAUUUUGUAACUGUCGGAAAAAUAAUAACAGAGAACAUAAUAAUAAAAAGAGUAAUUAUUAUACAGCUAUACUACAGUACUCUACUCUACUCAGUACUCAAUAUUUUCAUGAGCGUGAAAAUACAGUGUGUGCGUUCAUUGCCAUGAACGCACUGAAGUAUUAACUGAAUAUUUAAUACAAUAGGCUUUAUGGAAGUCUGUUUGUAAAUAUAAGUCAUCCAUAAGUUGGAUCUUCUUUCCCUGGGGGCAGCCUGCAUGUCAUUUGCUAAUUCCUGACUGUUAACAUCUGCAUGUACGAUUUCUAUGCCAGCGCCGCUGUCGUUUAUACUGUUUUGACUUGAUCUUUGUAAAAAAAAAAAAGUGCUUAUUUCUGGCACGUUAAGCAAUUAUCCACCUCUUGCUUCCUUUUCUUUUGUUGCCUUUGAUGCGCCACUGGGAUCUCGUGUUUUAGCGAGAUCCAUUUAAACUCCUCAAAUCCUAUCGACCACCCACCACUGCAUUCUCUGUAAGUGAGUGACUGGGCUCCUGCCAGUAUUUGAUUGGCUGAUUAGUGCCCUCUUCCUCCAAUGAGACUUUUUUAUCGGGCAUGUUCAAAGGCCACUUGAGACACAGGGCCCCUGGGCGUGUGCUCAGGUUAUCCAUAUGGUAAAUCUGCCCAUGCCCCCCCCACCAUAUUUCAAACUCUGUUCUAUGCUGCUGACAUCACGACAGACAAUAUAAUUCUAUACCUCAUACUUCAAGCUUAUAUGCAUUUCUCAUAUAUAUCUUACGAUGCAGGUAUUAUUGUUUUAUUUAAUUAGCAACUUAACUCACUGCAACCUCCGUUGAUUAGACACCAGAUCUUCUUUCUUUUUAUUUUCUAAUUUAUUUAUUUUCUAAAGUCAUCAUUGUUGGCGACUGUGAGAAAAAUCGCGGUAACCAAACUGUGCAAAUUCGGUUUUUGUGCGUCCGGUUCGGAAGCAGAAUCCUUUUGUUUUCGUUGUCUUCAUUGUUCUCCCUCCCCUCUUCCAUCCUAAAAUAUUCCGGAUUCCUUCCUUUCAUCUCCAUGUCACACGUCUCUAUUAACGGUUCCACUGAGAAGAAGCCCUGCGCUAUAAUACAUGUGAAAUAUGCAACAUUUAAUAGCUGAAUUGAAUGAACCGUUAAAAUAAGCAUGCAGGUACUGAUCUUUGCUUUUUCAUAUUGAGGAUGUCUUCCAGUUUGUCGCCUUGCAAUCCUCAGUUGUGUUUCACCAAAAAUAUUGACAUCAAAACUAAAAAAAGAAUCCCAUACACAUUAAAUUUGGUGCCAUUUUUACACCUGGAUGCAUUUUUAAUAACUUAUUAAUGUAUCACGUGACAGUAAUCUUGGAAUAGGAUUCACACAGUUCUUCAGCUGCAGGCUGUCCCCAAGUUAAGAAAGUCUGACUUACGGACUAAUUGCAUUUAUAAAGGGACUGCCAUGAAGCCGAUUAUAUUCAAAAAAAUUGAG